UACGUAGGGUGCAAGCGUUGUCCGGAAUUAUUGGCGUAAAGAGCUCGUAGGCGGUCUGUCGCGUCUGCUGUGAAAACCUAGGGCUUAACUCUGGGCGUGCAGUGGGUACGGGCAGGCUAGAGUGCGGUAGGGGAGACUGGAAUCCUGGUGUAGCGGUGAAAUGCGCAGAUAUCAGGAGGAACACCGGUGGCGAAGGCGGGUCUCUGGGC
rnacentral:rRNA from 1 species